AUGCAACGCGAAAAACCUUACCUGCCCUUGACAUGUCAGGAAUCUUUCAGAGAUGAGAGAGUGCCUUCGGGAACCUGAACACAGGUGCUGCAUGGCUGUCGUCAGCUCGUGUCGUGAGAUGUUGGGUUAAGUCCCGUAACGAGCGCAACCCUUGUCCUUAGUUGCCAGCGGUUCGGCCGGGAACUCUAAGGAGACUGCCGGUGAUAAACCGGAGGAAGGUGGGGACGACGUCAAGUCAUCAUGGCCCUUAUGGGCAGGGCUACACACGUGCUACAAUGGCCAGUACAGAAGGUUGCCAACCCGCGAGGGGGAGCUAAUCCUCAAAAGCUGGUCGUAGUCCGGAUCGCAGUCUGCAACUCGACUGCGUGAAGUCGGAAUCGCUAGUAAUCGCGAAUCAGCAUGUCGCGGUGAAUACGUUCCCGGGCCUUGUACACACCGCCCGUCACACCAUGGGAGUGGGCUGCACCAGAAGUAGGUUGCUUAACCCGUAAGGGAGGGCGCUUACCACGGUGUGGUUCAUGACUGGGGUGAAGUCGUAACAAGGUAGCCGUAGGGGAACC
rnacentral:rRNA from 1 species